rnacentral:tRNA from 1 species
GCCGAGGUGGUGAAAUUGGUAUACACGCUAUCUUGAGGUGGUAGCGCCUAUAAAAUGGCGUGCGGGUUCAAGUCCCGCCCUCGGUACCA